UACAGAGGUCUCAAGCGUUGUUCGGAUUCAUUGGGCGUAAAGGGUGCGUAGGUGGCGCCGUAAGUCGGGUGUGAAAUUUCGGAGCUUAACUCCGAAACUGCAUUCGAUACUGGGAGUCUUGAGUUCGGGAGAGGUGAGUGGAACUGCGAGUGUAGAGGUGAAAUUCGUAGAUAUUCGCAAGAACACCAGUGGCGAAGGCGGCUCACUGGCCCGAUACUGACGCUGAGGCACGAAAGCGUGGGGAGCAAACAGG
rnacentral:rRNA from 1 species